UUCGCUGAGCUUUUGUAUGACUAGCAUGUACAUCUGCUGCAAUUAACAGUUUCAGCCCUCUCGGGAACAAGCUGAACCCAAAUGCUGCAGCAACAAUCUUGUUUUCGAAGCAUCUCUUUCACGCGGUUCUCAUGGCUAUGCUAAUGAUGAAAGGAUGACCCCUGAAGGAGAUGGAGAUCCAUUGAAAGUGAAGGCUGAGUGUCCAAGUUUUGAUCUUGGAUUUUGAACCAUAUCCAUUGCACAAUCAACUAUAUUGCUACUGUCAAUAAUCUGGAUGGAGCGCGCAAGAAUCUUGUGCCUAUCACACAAGAAAUCUGUACAGUUGAGCUCUUGUUUUUAUGUGGAGAGUUCUAGUGCCAAGUUCAUUUGCAGUUGUCUGAUCUGAAACAUUUUUAGUUAUACGACAUCAUUUCCAGUGAUCUUCAACAUAUUGAGGGUAUGAAAACAUGACGUAAAUGCUAUGUAUGGCAAUCUGGAGCAUUCAAGUCGAGUGCACUGACCUGGUUUUUUGUUGGAUGAAGUGCUUGCAAAUGGAAAGGUGCCGGCUGGGGAGGAUUGUGGAAACUGUGUAGCCGAAUGCCGUC